rnacentral:rRNA from 1 species
AGGAAGUAAUAUUUAUUUAAACCUAAAUAACAAUGGCGGCAUUUCAUCUUAUUAGAGGAACUUGUUAUAUAAUAGAUAAUACGCUAUAAUUUUCACUUUAAAAUAAAGUUUAUAUAUCGCCAUCUUAAGAAUAAAUCUAAUUAUUUAUUCAAAAUAAUAAAUAAAAAGUUAGGUCAAGGUGUAAUUUAAGUUAAAGAAUAAAUGAGUUACUUUAAACUUAAUUUAAAAUUUUAAUUCUAUAGAAUUCUAUAAAUAGGAUUUAAAAGUAUAUUACUAAUAAUACUUGUAAUAGAAUAAGAUUCUAAAUGUGC